GUUUAAAUAGUUUAUUAAAACUUUAAUUUGUGGAAUUAAGAAUAUGAUUUUUCAUUUUAGACA
rnacentral:tRNA from 1 species